UGUCCAAUGCGGGGAUCGAACCCGGGUCGUAGUGGUCGUAAACCAAACGGUUUAACCAGCCUUCCACCGACCCAUACAUAAAC
rnacentral:tRNA from 1 species